CCCCUUUUAAAAGUAUCCAGUGGCCUUUUGCUAGUGACUCACUGAGGCGCCAAGAAGGGGCAGAGUGAAAACGUCACUUGGAGGAGAAGUGGUAGCAUGUUGCUUGCUUCCAUCAGUGUUGUGACAAGA